CCUACGUGAGGCAGCAGUGAGGAAUAUUGGUCAAUGGGCGAGAGCCUGAACCAGCCAAGUCGCGUGAGGGAGUACUGCCCUAUGGGUUGUAAACCUCUUUUGUCGGGGGGAAAAAGCCGGACGUGUCCGGCUGUGAGAGUACCCGAAGAAAAAGCAUCGGCUAACUCCGUGCCAGCAGCCGCGGUAAUACGGGGGAUGCGAGCGUUAUCCGGAUUUGUUGGGUUUAAAGGUUACGCAGGCGGAUUAUUAAGUCAGCGGUCAACUCGUGGGGCUAAACCCCAUCAAGCCGUUGAAACUGGGGAUCUAGAGUGUGCGUGAGGUAUGCGGAAUGCGUGGUGUAGCGGUGAAAUGCAUAGAUAUCACGCAGAACUCCGAUUGCGAAGGCAGCAUACCGGCGCCCAACUGACGCUGAAGCACGAAAGCGUGGGUAUCGAACAGGAUUAGAUACCCCUGUAGUC
rnacentral:rRNA from 1 species